CAAUAGCGUAUAUUUAAGUUGUUGCAGUUAAAAAGCUCGUAGUUGGAUUUCGGGUGGGAAUGGCCGGUCCGCCGUUUCGGUGUGCACUUGCUACGCCCACCUUGCUGCCGGGGACGUGCUCUUGAGUUCACGCUCGGGACACGGAGUCGGCGAGGUUACUUUGAGUAAAUUAGAGUGUUCAAAGCAGGCCUACGCUCUGAAUACAUUAGCAUGGAAUAACACGAUAGGACUCUGGCCUAUCUUGUUGGUCUGUAGGACCGGAGUAAUGAUUAAGAGGGACAGUCGGGGGCAUUCGUAUUUCAUUGUCAGAGGUGAAAUUCUUGGAUUUAUGAAAGACGAACUACUGCGAAAGCAUUUGCCAAGGAUGUUUUCAUUAA
rnacentral:rRNA from 1 species